rnacentral:tRNA from 1 species
GCGGGAUGGAGCAGCCUGGUAGCUCGUCGGGCUCAUAACCCGAAGGUCGUCGGUUCAAAUCCGGCUCCCGGCG